GAAAUGCGAUAAGUAAUGUGAAUUGCAGAAUUCAGUGAAUCAUCGAAUCUUUGAACGCACAUUGCGCCCGCUAGUACUCUGGCGGGCAUGCCUGUUCGAGCGUCAUUUCAACCCUCAAGCCCUGCUUGGUGAUGGGGCCCUACUGCUCUUGUAGGCCCUGAAAUACAGUGGCGGCCUCGCUAUAAUUUCGAGCGCAGUAAAAUGCCUCGCUCUGGGUGUUAUAGUGGGAGCCCGCCGUAAAACCCCCUAUAUUUUACAAGGUUGACCUCGGAUCAGGUAGGAAUACCCGCUGAACUUAA
rnacentral:misc_RNA from 1 species